AUAUUUGCGCUCGGGGCAAUGACGCAACUAGUGAGGUACUAACCGAGGGUCCAUUGCUGGUUGAAAAGUACUUCCAAACCCCCUUCUUUGUCCUAGUUCAAACCCUGGCUAUUGAGAAUUUCUAGAAGGUAAAGCCCUAC
rnacentral:snRNA from 1 species